rnacentral:rRNA from 1 species
GAACGCUGAAGCCGUGUGCUUGUCACAUGGUGGAUGAGUGGCGAACGGGUGAGUNACACGUGAGUNACCUGCCCCCGACUUCGGGAUAAGCCCGGGAAACUGGGUCUAAUACCGGAUAUGACCAACGCUCGCAUGAGUGUUGGUGGAAAGUCUUUUCGGUUGGGGAUGGGCUCGCGGCCUAUCAGUUUGUUGGUGAGGUAAUGGCUCACCAAGACGACGACGGGUAGCCGGCCUGAGAGGGCGACCGGCCACACUGGGACUGAGACACGGCCCAGACUCCUACGGGAGGCAGCAGUGGGGAAUAUUGCACAAUGGGGGAAACCCUGAUGCAGCGACGCAGCGUGCGGGAUGACGGCCUUCGGGUUGUAAACCGCUUUCAGCAGGGAAGAAGCCACCUUCGGGUGGUGACGGUACCUGCAGAAGAAGUACCGGCUAACUACGUGCCAGCAGCCGCGGUAAUACGUAGGGUACAAGCGUUGUCCGGAAUUAUUGGGCGUAAAGAGCUCGUAGGUGGUUGGUCACGUCUGCUGUGGAAACGCAACGCUUAACGUUGCGCGUGCAGUGGGUACGGGCUGACUAGAGUGCAGUAGGGGAGUCUGGAAUUCCUGGUGUAGCGGUGAAAUGCGCAGAUAUCAGGAGGAA